CCUACGGGAUGCACCAGUGGGGAAUAUUGCACAAUGGGCGCAAGCCUGAUGCAGCCAUGCCGCGUGUAUGAAGAAGGCCUUCGGGUUGUAAAGUACUUUCAGCGGGGAGGAAGGUGUUGAGGUUAAUAACCUCUGCAAUUGACGUUACCCGCAGAAGAAGCACCGGCUAACUCCGUGCCAGCAGCCGCGGGAAUACGGAGGGUGCAAGCGUUAAUCGGAAUUACUGGGCGUAAAGCGCACGCAGGCGGUCUGUCAAGUCGGAUGUGAAAUCCCGGGCUCAACCUGGGAACUGCAUUCGAAACUGGAAGGCUAGAGUCUUAUAGAGGGGGGUAGAAUUCCAGGUGUAGCGGUGAAAUGCGUAGAGAUCUGGAGGAAUACCGGUGGCGAAGGCGGCCCCCUGGACUAAGACUGACGCUCAGGUGCGAAAGCGUGGGGAGCAAACAGGAUUAGAUACCCGCGUAGUC
rnacentral:rRNA from 1 species